UACGUAGGGCGCAAGCGUUGUCCGGAAUUAUUGGGCGUAAAGAGCUCGUAGGCGGCUUGUCACGUCGAUUGUGAAAGCCCGAGGCUUAACCUCGGGUCUGCAGUCGAUACGGGCUAGCUAGAGUGUGGUAGGGGAGAUCGGAAUUCCUGGUGUAGCGGUGAUAUGCGUAGAUAUCAGGAGGAAUACCGGUGGGGUAGACGGCUCUCUGGACCGCCACUGACGCUGAGACACGAAAGCGUGGGUAGCAAACAGG
rnacentral:rRNA from 1 species